UACGGGGGGGGCAAGCGUUGUUCGGAAUUACUGGGCGUAAAGGGCUCGUAGGCGGCCAACUAAGUCAGACGUGAAAUCCCUCGGCUUAACCGGGGAACUGCGUCUGAUACUGGAUGGCUUGAGUUUGGGAGAGGGAUGCGGAAUUCCAGGUGUAGCGGUGAAAUGCGUAGAUAUCUGGAGGAACGCCGGGGGCGAAGGCGGCAUCCCGGGCCAGCACUGACGCUGAGUGAGCGAAAGCCAGGGGAGCAAACGGG
rnacentral:rRNA from 1 species